GAUGAAUUGCCUGAAAAAAAGGGCUAUCUUGAUAGGAUAGAUCAUAUAAUAUAAUAUUAUAUUCAUUA
rnacentral:tRNA from 1 species